AAAAAACAUGGCGGUUAUUUUCUUGCAGCACCAAAAGAUCAGGGUAUGAUCAACAUCCUCCUUCAUGUCUCCUGAGCUUCCCUCCAUUUCUGAUCCAUCUCUUCAUUCUCCUCCCCCCUCUACAGUAUCUGAAGAGCUCCUCUGAGGAUAUCUCUCUUUCCCCAGAUGGUUGGAGAUUGCCGCUCUCCGGUUGCUGACACAGAACGGUCCCUGUUUCUUUGUUUCCACUGGUGACAGGCAGAGCGGAUGGGAGCUCUUUCCAGUAGGUGAGAUAUGAUUGUGUUGGUUUACACACUCCUCUGCACACACAAACAACCUCAAAGGUUUGAAGACACCAGACACCACCCUUCAUGCAGCCGUGGUUGUGCGUCCCCUCUAUGCCCACCUCCUUGUUAGGGUGCGAGUGCACGCACCUGAUUGAUCACCUUUUGUUUUAUGUACAGUGGAGCAGCAAGAGUUGUGUGAUUUGUUUAUGAUGUCAAACAGCCUCACUCUCGAUGUGCGUGUGAGAGAGACAGGGAGAGAAAAAUACAUACAGGAUGGAUUUUUUUUUUCCUGCCCUCUGGCCCACAUGCACACACACCAGCGCGCACACACACACACACUCAAAGUGUCAUGAGACUGUCAGCAAUGGCUUUGGCUACAACUCCUCCAGGCAUGUGGUCCUGCCACCUAUAAUCUACAAUGAGCAGAAAUGAGUUUCCUUUGUAGACGCUGCCUUUCCUGGACACACACACACACACACACACACACAUAUAAGCUAAUCAUACAUGCAGCUGGUGUAAUAAUAAGGCAGGGUGCAGACAGUGCUGGAAUAACUACUGAGACAGGGUGAUAUUUCACAACCUCAAUAAUUGGAUACGUCUCUAUUCCCUAAUUACGAUCUAAAUCACAUACGCUGCAGCUCCAUACAUACAGUAUACAGAUAAAACAGAAAUGACACACGCUCACACACACACACACACAUAUUGUGUCUGUAAAUUUAUGCAUGAGCAAAUUCAAGCGUGAGUCUCACUGACACACACUCACAUGCAAACAAAACAACAAAAAACAUGUUCGUACAUGUACAUGUAAGUUUCCGCCGUCUCGUAAAAGCUGAUGUUUUAUACAACGCCAUAAUGUGUAACGUGCUGCGGUUCUACAUCAGCUACUUAUCAUACUUUUAUGCAGUGUGAAGCAGCUUUUGUCGUAUAUAAAGUACAUGCAUUAUGAAAGAAGUGUCUUUUGAGAAGUAGCAGCACUACAUCAGGGCACGGUGGGUGUUAGCAUGCAUGGAAAUAAACACUGAAGAGAGUUUUCUCGCCGUGUGAGAGCUCUGAGGUCAGUGCACGGGAAAGAAGAGGAGCUUCACACCACGGCGACAUUGUGUUGGUUGUAUUUCAGCGUUUUGGUCUAAACCACUGAAUCAUUUUAAGAGUUUUUUUCUCGGUGGCAGAAAACACAAUGUAAGCUUCUUUUGUGAUACUCUAUUGAUCUCUGGGAGGAAAAUAAUCCUUUUGCUUGCGCCUUUGCAGGGAGGUCAGAGAGCAGGGUUAUCUACAGAGCAGUGUCAGGUUAGAAAAUAUGAGCACCAUUAUCAGCAGCAUAGCAGCCAGCUGUGGAGAACAAACCCGAGUCAAGAGGCGGACGAGAUGGGAGUGUCUGAUAUGUGGUCCGGCUAAAGUUGACAUCUCAUAGACUGUAUAUACUACGGACGACUUGGUCCCGCCUUCCGCCAGUUAACGGGUUUGAAGACGAAAAACUCUUCGUAAUUCCGCGUUUUUUCCUUCACUUCCAGAAACCAACAUUACGCAGUAGCGUUGUACACAUUUGGUGGGAGAGUCGCUGUGAUGAUGCUCGGCUCAAACAGCAUAACCCACCGAUGCGAUAUUUUUUUCCGUUGCAUGGUAGGGGAAGGUCCCGCCUCCUUCACCUCUGAUUGGCUAGAAGUGCUCGGCUCCGAUUGGUUAUUUCUUAUGGCUGUAAAACGUCAUCGUCUGUCGGGUUAAGGUUAUGGUAAGGAGAUUCAGGAGUGCGAUAAUGUUCUGUUCGAUGUACAGAGCCGAACGCCCGUGCUCAGCUUGAGUGUGUGAUGAUGUUUCCAGCUUUUCUAGCCAAUCAGAGGCGAAGGAGGCGGGACCUUACUAUCCUAUAUAAAAAAUAUGGCCCCCCUAGUUAGCUACGCAAUCUUUGUACGCCUAUAGGCUGUAUCAAGUGUCAAUCAUAGGGAACAUGCUCACUUAGCAAUAGACAGCUAUUAGACAUCCAAUUUUUUUAUUUAGAUCUAAUUUCAAUCGUCUAGAUUCUGUAUAUUUUUAGACGGAAUUUAGACGUUGCACUUUAACCCGUUAUUCAAUAACUAUUUAUUUCAAAAAGCAACUGUGAGCUGCAUAACUGAUCACCAAGUACUGAACCAGAAUAAUUAUGAUAGCUGUUGAGCAAAAUACAGUGUAGUAUAGAUAAAGAUUCAGACUUGGUCUAAAUUUAGAGGUCUAAAAAACGUUCAUUUUUAGACCUGUGGUAGCAGGUUUUAGACCAGUCGUUAAGGCUACAAUUGGAAGAUUUCUAUUCUGACAAAAUAAAGACAAAUAAUACUGAACAAAUACAACAACAAAAACAUGAUGUAGUUAGUAACAGAGGUGCAUUCUUUUCUCCUGACUUUUAUAGUAUCACUAGUUUUACAUCAAGAUGUCAUUCCCGUUCUUUGGACAACAAUCUGAUGUUUUCAGGCAUCACAGAGUCGACCGUGUUACAGUUUGGUUUGAUUCUGGAGUCUACAAUUGAUUUCAGACAAUUUCAGUGAAAAACAUCUCAAGACCGAAAAAAAAACCCAACAAAAAGGAACAAAAUCCCUUUUCAUGUCUGGAAAAAAACAGCUGGUUUAGCGCUGACAUUUAUCCUGCCGCUGACAAUAUGGGGGUCACACCAUGAGUCUAUUUCUGGUACCCGGUCAGUUUUUUUCAUGUUUCCUUCAGAGGAGAGAGUAAAUAUCUUCCUCAUCCUCUUCAUCCGCAGGCUGCCGACAUCGUCUGAAAGGACAGAGGGAUGUGGAGUCACAUCUUGGCAAAAACAACAGACAAUUGGUUAGGGUGACCGUAUUCUGAUCCCCAAAAAGAGGACACGACCCCGGGGUGGAGUCAUGGAGUCACACGUAGUACAUUUUGAGAGUUUUUUAAGUUGGGUUGAGUGUUUUCUACACAAUAAUAACUCAGUUAUUCCACACGACACAAACUCAAAACUUACCUACCGAAAAGAGGACGUAUGAUAACCCUACAAGUGGUGCUAGUUUGAUAAUGAGAGUGAAUCUGACAGACAGAGAUGUGGAUUGAUGUUUAUACUCUCUGAUUUGAUUGGGUCGUGGUUCAACAUUCUUCAUUAGAUCAGAUUAUUACAUUUCUACUAGAGCCUGAUCACUAAAUCCCUAUCAUAGCCAUAUAAGCAGGGAUACCUGACAUUCCACCUACACUUUCUUACCUUUGUCAUCAUCUGUCAGAUUUUUGGCUCCAAACACUUGGU
rnacentral:lncRNA from 1 species